ensembl:lncRNA
GGUUAGACAAGCGCCCACUCUCAGGCUCUGGAAGGGGUCCCCCUUCCUGCAACAGGAAGACGAGAGACACAGCCAGACCGGUGUGAAGACAAGACCAACACCAAGGGCAGUGGACAGCCCUAGAAGGUGGAUGAGGCAGCAAGAGCCUCCCCGGAGCCACAGAGUGGCCUGAUCUGACCUCCGACCUCCAGACUGUGAAGGGACUCGAGCCCCCAAGCCUGUGGCGUUUUUAGGCAGCCCUGGGAAAGGAACAGACCCUGAAAGCAAACAGGCCUGAGUCCAAGAGUUCAGAGUCCAUUGGAAAGGUGGCCGAGCAUGAUCAGCAUGAACAGGCCUAAGAUGGAGUCCUGGCCCUAUGAAUUCCUUCUUCAGCAGGCAAGGCGUCAAGGCAGGUCCUCAUGAGGGAUGGAUGCCACAGAGCGGAGGAACAGAGACAAGUGCUCUGAGUGGCGGGACUGGGAUUCCGUGUUGAGGACAUGCGUCCCACACAGAGGCAGCGAGGCUGUGGAACUGGGGGCAUCAGAGGCACACGGGCAUGAACUCAGUUUCAAUCCAAGUGGCUACAGACAGAGGUGCAUGGACAAACGUGUGUGUGCGCCCUCCCAUGUCCCUGAGCUCGUCCAGAGUCCCCUCCCACUGGAGGGCCCGAGGCUCCUCAGAGUGGCACGGGGACAGCAGAGCUCGGACACCUGUCAUCCAGAAAGGAGGGGGGCUCCCACUGGCCAAGGCCCAGAUGCUGGGGCAGGAGCAGGAAAUAGGACAUUGAAUGAAUGAACGAAUGG